UACAUGGCUGGGAUGCUUCUACAAUCUAUGAUGUCUCAUAAACCCAGAGGCUGGCCGAGCAGGGGAGUGGGCUGCUGGCAGGACGGGCGACCCUCCCGGGUGGGCAGAAGAGGCUGAGCUCCCGGCUAGCCUCAAGCCAGAGGCGGAGCCGGGGCGUCAGGAUGCCAGGCCCUCCUGGCCACUAGCCAUGGCCGUUCUGGGACAUGUAAGCCGCCAGCGCCACCACCACGGCCAC